rnacentral:rRNA from 1 species
UACGUAGGGCGCAAGCGUUGCCCGGAAUUAUUGGGCGUAAAGAGCUCGUAGGUGGCGUGUCGCGUCUGCCGUGAAAGCCCAUGGCUUAACUGUGGGUCUGCGGUGGAUACGGGCAGGCUGGAGGCUGGUAGGGGCAAGCGGAAUUCCUGGUGUAGCGGUGAAAUGCGCAGAUAUCAGGAGGAACACCGGUGGCGAAGGCGGCUUGCUGGGCCAGUUCUGACGCCGAGGAGCGAAAGCGUGGGGAGCGAACAGG